GAACUCAAGAGUGAGUUAUAGUUAGACGAUUUAUCGAGAAAUCCGUUACCAUAGUUUCUAUUUUAUUUCACAAAACUGUACAUUUUUAUUGAUGCAUUAAACGAAGUUUAAUAUAUUAAUUAGUUUUAAACUUAAAUAUGACUUACGACAAUAAAUGUACAUAAACGAGGCACCUCCAUUUCACAUUUCAAGUAGUUAAACAAUAAAGGUAUUUGUUAAUAUUUGGUGGUAUAUCCAUUGUUUUUAUUCACGCAAAGUGCGCCCCUGACUCUCCUUGUCUUCGAUGCUGUUUUUGUUGUUGUAGCGGCAGAAUUCUGCCGAGAUGACAGUUCUUGACCGGAUAAAAUCUGGGUACGUUCCGGUUACGUAGACCCGACUGUCGUGGGAACGGCCUUGGCUUCGAUCGUUCCACAUGCUUCGUUCUAGCUGUUCUCCCAAAAAGCAAAAGUGAAGAGCUUGGAACAUUGUUUUUGCGGGGCAAGGAGAAGCAAGCAUCAGCGUACGUGUAUUUAUGAAAGUGUGUAUGCGUGAUAAUACGUGUAAAUACGCAUAAAUAAGGGAACAUUAAAUAUUUUAAUUAUCUGGCUAAAUCGACAAACUGAAAUAAUGAUAAACAUGUAAACAUAUAAAAUCACAUGCAGUGUGUGCUUAGAACUUAUAGAAGUAAUUAAAGAUUUAAUAUGAAUGGUAACUUUAUAUAGUUUUAAUAAUUUUAUGCCAUAACAUAUAUGUAUAGUGUCUAAUAUAAAACAAAUUAAAAUAAUAAUUUAAGUCGCUAAUAGGCCAUGUUGCCUAUUCUCCUUUCUGAAAGGAACAUUAGACAAAUUCUUCAAAUGUGGCUGUACAAAUUGAAAUUUUGGUUGAUUUCUUCAAUAUUACAAAUUCAUUUCAUUUUAUUUACCCAUAAUUUUUAUCAUCUUUAUCCUUUCCGAGUACGAAUUCCAUAUGAAACCAAAUUGUGGUUGACCAGGCGUACGGAAAAAAGAGCGAGACGCAGAGUUAUGAAUGAACGCAUUUUGUUUUGCAGCAGACGCACAUGCCUUAUGACUGAAUUCGUGGUCGUUAUAAUAUGAAAUACUUCGAAACUAUGCCGCAAGCUUGCUCGAAUCUUAUUGGUUGAUGAUGGUACUCGAAUAUUUAAUUUUUUGCAAAUAGCAUAUUGAGGGACAUACAUAUGUAUGUGUCUACAUAUGUGUACAAAUAUGAAAAUGAAUUUGCGUAUGCGCAUGAAGGAAAGGCAAUUUCGAGAAUAUUCACAUACAAAUUGCUCAUUUGAAAAAAGUACACGAUGAUAGCUGUUUGAACACACACAUUAAACUCGUUCGUCCAGAUGUCUGUGGUGCUGCUUGUAUAGCUGAUGAACGAGCUAAACAAUAUUGUCUUACCUCUGGUGGGAAACUAAAAUUGAUACACACUUCAUCUAAUGAGAACUAUUUCAUUCUAACUUUAUCUCAGUAUCUUAUAUACUAUUUUUAAAAUCUAUUUUAUCUAUUGUAAUUUAAUGUAUGUAUAUAUGUGUAUGUUUGUACGUAUUGUCACACGACACUCAAUGCAUGUGCGCGUGUGUGUACCUAUUUAGUUUACAAUUCCUGUAAUCACAUGCUACAUACAUCGGUGGUACACUAAUUAGCACACCCUCACAUAUUCCAAUAGUCCUGCUUGAAAAUUAAAGAUAACAGUAAUUUAAUUUUUUUUUUGUAUAUUCAUAAGUUGUUAUUUUGCCGUUAUAAAUCACGCGUUACUAAAAAUUUUGGGUUUAGUUUCAAAGAAGUAAGUUCGGUGGGGGAAGUGUUAUGGUGUGCGGUUGGUUUACGAAGCUUGGUGUUGGUCCUAUUGUGCAUAUAACGGGCAAGCUAGAUUCUGUAGCAUACCAGAAGUUGCUUGAAAAUUACCUCGUGCCGUUUUUGAAAGACUUACCGUUAUCUGCAUACACCACCGCAGUUUACCAAUAGGACAAUGCGCCCUGCCAUAAGUCGAGAUCAUUCCGUUGCUGAAUUGCCUGCCAGAGUCUAGACCUCAAUGCAAUGGAAAAUCCGUGGGCAAUAAUAAAAAGGCGAGUCAUGGCACUGAAACCGAAGACAGUGCACGAUUUAUGGGUAGUUAUUCAACAGGAAUGGCAGAAAAUUCCCAAUGACAUCCGAGAUGAUGUACAUCAGUAAUUUCCCAAAAUGGAUACCCAGCUAAAUUUGAUUCUCCCUCGCGGGAGGGUGUGCUAAAUAGUGUGCCACCCCUGUAUGUAUGCACCUCGCUAAGAUGUCUGUUUAUUAUUUUUUUAUGAAUUUUUAAGCUAUUGCA